GGGGGUAGAAGUGGUAUAAUGAAAUAUUGAAUAUGAUUUUGGAUUUGGCGGUUUCGUUUUCGUCUUUCACUUUUGUUGUGAACAGUUUCAUUUUCUCUCCAACAGGUCCCUUCGUCUUUCGUUUGCCACCAUCUCCAUUGUUGCGUUACUUUGGUUUUAUCUCAAGCAGGGGAAGGCGAUCAUUGAGAAGGUAAGCCCGUAGUGUGGGUAUGUCGUUUUUGGUUUGGUUGGGCUUCGUCUUUGUUUCGUCAUUUGCUGGCAUUCUCGCGUUUUGGUGUUUUGGGUUUUUGUGUAUCAUUUCGC
rnacentral:lncRNA from 1 species